rnacentral:rRNA from 1 species
AUUGAACGCUGGCGGCAUGCCUUACACAUGCAAGUCGAACGGUAACAGGUCUUCGGAUGCUGACGAGUGGCGAACGGGUGAGUAAUACAUCGGAACGUGCCCAGACGUGGGGGAUAACGAGGCGAAAGCUUUGCUAAUACCGCAUACGAUCUAAGGAUGAAAGCAGGGGACCGCAAGGCCUUGUGCGUUUGGAGCGGCCGAUGGCAGAUUAGGUAGUUGGUGGGAUAAAAGCUUACCAAGCCGACGAUCUGUAGCUGGUCUGAGAGGACGACCAGCCACACUGGGACUGAGACAGGGCCCAGACUCCUACGGGAGGCAGCAGUGGGGAAUUUUGGACAAUGGGCGAAAGCCUGAUCCAGCAAUGCCGCGUGCAGGAUGAAGGCCUUCGGGUUGUAAACUGCUUUUGUACGGAACGAAAAGGCUCUGGCUAAUACCUGGGGCACAUGACGGUACCGUAAGAAUAAGCACCGGCUAACUACGUG